UACGGGGGGGGCAAGCGUUGUUCGGAAUUACUGGGCGUAAAGGGCUCGUAGGUGGCCAACUAAGUCAGAUGUGAAAUCCCUCGGCUUAACCGGGGAACUGCGUCUGAUACUGGAUGGCUUGAGUUCGGGAGAGGGAUGCGGAAUUCCAGGUGUAGCGGUGAAAUGCGUAGAUAUCUGGAGGAACACCGAUGGCGAAGGCAACCCCCUGGGCCUGCACUGACGCUCAUGCACGAAAGCGUGGGGAGCAAACAGG
rnacentral:rRNA from 1 species